rnacentral:lncRNA from 1 species
GGGAAAGAGUGAAUGCCAGUUGAGCCCUCACUAUAAAAGACAUGGCUGCUCACAAAUGCUCCACUGCGAAUUCCUCAGGAAUCUUGAAAUUGGUGGUGGAAUCUCCAUUUUACAGAUGCAACAACAUUUUCCUCACUUCCUGGAAAUGGCUCUGUUCUAGCCUUUCAACAUUAUCCAGGAGUACCUGGGAGAAGAGCCUGGUAAAACACAAUGAACUGCGGCCAGGGUCACUACUGUUUUGAAGAAUAUGAUCAGAAAUCUUCUCCCUGGCUGGGCACAAUGGCUCACUCCUAUAAUCCCAGUACUUCGGGAGGCUGAGACAGGAGGAUGCCUGAGAAUAGGAGUUCAAGACCAGCCUGGGCAACAUAGCAAGACUGUAUCUACAAAAAAAUGCAAAAAAGUUAGCCACACAUGGUGGCACAUACCUGUAGUCUCAGCUACUCGGGAGGAGAGGAUCACUUGAGCCUAGGAGUUCAAGGCUGCAGUGAGCUAUGAUUGCGCCACCACACUCUAGCCUGGAUGACAGAGAGAGACCCUGUCUCUUAAAAAACAAACAAACAAACAAACAAAAACACUCCCUGUGUUAAACCUGCAUGUGAAAAAUCAGCUUUUUUCUAUAGAAGUGAACUAAGAAAUUACUUAAUGGAAAAGAAUCUUGAAUUUAAACAACCUAAAUUAAUGAAUGCAAUAGUCUGUGAUAUAGUUUCAUAACUUUACUGUCUACUCUUAGAGUCUUUAAAACAAUGUAACCUUUCUCUACCAAGUGGUGUUUAGAUUGUUUUCUUCUCCCUUCCAAAACAUUUCUAGAAAAGAUGCUGUGAAUGUCACAUAUGCUUCCUGGCUACACUUGAGGUCUCAAGGAAUGGAUGUGCCUGAUUCUGUGUCUUACCAGAUAAAGACACUCAUUGAGGAUGCUCUAGGAACCCACAAGGUGGAGAAGAGGUGCCCCUUCCUUGAAGGGCCCCUGGAAGCCGAGCAUCCUGGGUGGAAAUCCAGUGGAGUCUGCUUCCUGCCUGCUGGUCCCGACGCUGAAGUGCAAAAGGGAGAAAAUGGAUGUUGGGAAAUAGUCCAGGAACAUUCAGCAUCGGCUGGGAAGUUAAACCAAAUGCAAUGUGAGUGUGACUUGCUGUGUUCAGAGAGGUGGGAGGCCUACUUGGCCACACGAGGAGACAGAAAAUGGGGCUCAAGUUCAAGCUCACACAUAUGGGUGAGAGGGACUGGCCUGUCUGGAGCUUCCUGGAGGUGCAGACGCCACCCUCCCUGAGUUGGCACACUUGGCCCUGGAAGCCUUGGGAAGCAGCCUAUUUGAGGAUUUCACCUUUCGGGGCAGGAUAGACCAACUUAAGGACCUGGGAUUGUGGCCUGGCAGGGCUUUGUGCUGGCCCCGCCGGUCAUCUCCCUUCUG